AUGGAGAUGAAGAAGCGUGCCUCUAGCAACAAGAAGACGAGGUUCGCGGCUGUACCCGUGACCUCUAAGCUCGUUAAGAGGAGCGGCUAUGGCCCGCCCAUUGGAUCCGAGAACCAUGUUGAGUCUGGUCCGGACCGCAUCAGCGAUCUCCUGGACGCCAUCCUCGGCGAGAUCAUCUCUCGUCUUCCCAUAAAGGAAGGCAUCCGCACACAAGUGCUCGCAUCUCGGUGGCGCCGCAUAUGGCGCACUGGCACAUGA
rnacentral:rRNA from 1 species